CGUGGGAGGGAAAAUGCAUUAACUAAAUUAUAAGAAACCCUCCAAGCAGAAAUAAAUACUGAAAAGGAAGCUAAAAAGAAAUCAAAGCAUACACAAGAGUUGUAAUAUUUUAAAGCAUGGAAAGAGGAAUGAAGUGGAAUAAACAAAAGGUUAAAUUAAGGUUAACUUAAAUUAAAGCAAUGAAACAAAAUUGGGAAGACAACCAGGCUGAAUGAAUAGAAUGCGUGAAACCAGAUAAUUCACACAAAAUAUAUCAAAUAAAAAAGAGAGAUGCAUAAGACAUAUUAAGGCUGUGUCAUUGUUCAGCCAAGGAAAAUGUCUCCAGCUUGGGAAGGUGUGAAGCUGCAGGUUCACACAGACCCGUGAUGGAUACAUAAUAAAAUAUAAACUAAUAUACUAUUGUAUAUUAGUAGUAAAGUAGUGUAUUGUGAUAUACUAUUGCUGUUAUAAAAAAGGAAAAACAAUACAAUGAUAACAUUAAUAAUGACAUACUAUUAAUAGGAAAAGGCACCUCAGUCAGUUAUGAUGCGAGGUGGAAGAUUGUUAAAAGUAGUCUGAUUCAAGCUUAAGGUUUGCUCAAACUCAGUACAAUGAUAUAGGAGAUGAAGAAAAUAAGGAAAUAACUACACUAAUCAGGUGCAUAGAGACACUUGACCUGCUUGUAAACCUGUCAUCUUAAAUGAGACUUUGUUAAGAUGAAGAGCAACCUAUACUAACAACUAAUAAGCCAAACCCUGUAUACAACAGCUAAAGCUACAGGUUUGAGAAGCUGAAUAAAAUGAAUUAAAUAUGUGGACACUACCAAGCUGAUGAGCAAGUUACACAUAAUGAUUAGGCAUAUGAUUUACUAAUGCAGAUGUAAUAACUUUAUUCUAAAAUUCAAGGAGAACAAACAAGAACAACAUCUUCAGUUAUGUCUUGUUGUUGUUCUCUGUGCAGUGUGCUGAGUUUUGUUUUUUGUUUCUUUUGUUUUUUUGAAAUGUUGCUUGAGUGAUGAGUACUGUAACUUCUGAAGUAGCUCUCACCAUGUGUCCUUGAUGAUGAUAAGUCCAGAGCCAGCUGAGAGCUGGGUUAUCUGUUUUGUUUUAUGUGAUAAGGCUGAGAAAUUAAAACUUAGUUUCUUGUUUUGAAAAAAAAAAAGGAAAAAAAAAAAAAAGAGAGAGGCCCCUACUCUCUGAAUACAAUAUUCUCUUCAUAACUCGGCAGUAUGAAAUGUCAUGAAACAGUGUAACUCACUCACAGUAAAUCAGCAGUAUAGGAUAAUACAAACCUAUCUAAUAAAUCUAAUGAUUUUCACAUUCUUUUAACUAAGAAGUGUGAUGCAAACUAAAACUACAUACUGAUUACACAAGAAGUAUGAUGUGGCCUACAGCAGUAUCAUGAUUCACUCAUUUUGAUUACAGGUAUAAUGUAAUAUAUGACAGCAUAAUAAUCUCACAACUGCUACAAGCACAUUUGCCUUUCUUAACACACGCGAGUGAAAGGCAACUGUUGAGAAAAUGCCCUUUGGGUGAGACAGGCCCAGAGGCCCUGCAUGCAAGCGUACUAACACACAUACAUGCAAUGAAGAGCAGCUUACACUAGAGCACACACUAUAUGUGCGCCUCUAUAUUGGUGUUAAAACAGGAAAAACUUAAUAGUUUUGUUAUCAACUGCUGAAUUUACCCACUACUGACGUUUAACUCUCCAGCUUGCAGGACAAUAGAAAAAACAAAAACAAAACAAAAACAGACGAACAGGAAAAUGAUGUUGUAUUGGCUGUGUUAUUCAGAGAGGGGAGAAACACCGGGCCAGGCCCUGUGUCAGCCUUCUCUCCCCCUUUUUUGUUUUUCCUCACAAUAUAAUUAACUCAUAACCCACCAAGUUGACAGGAAAACACAGGUAGAUAUUAAAAUUCGUAAGAUCACGUUUAAAAGCACAAAAAAGGAAUUUUCCUUCCUUCAGUAAUC
ensembl:lncRNA